rnacentral:ncRNA from 1 species
UGGUUACGCAAAGAGUUUUAAUUUUUAAAGAGACCAAUGCACAAUUCACGGUCUCGGGCGACAGGCACAAAACGGAGAGAAACUAUGUUUGAA